GAAUGAAGCUGGUCGGGGAGACACCAUGAUCAGGCAGGUGGCUUUCCCAGGGUGAGGCUCAUCCUUUGCAUUCCGGGUGUGCUGACCCCUGCGAUUUCCUCAAAUGCGGGAAACUCGACUGCAUAAUUUGUGGUAGUGGGGGACUGGGAUUUUUUUA
rfam:Picoides pubescens contig61735, whole genome shotgun sequence.